ACGAAACCCUUCCCUGUUCCUCCUCCUCUUUCAUUCACCGGCUUCGAGUCCCAAUUCGCCGGAUACCCAUGCAAUAACCAGCACGAACUCUUGAUAUGACCCACACGGCCACAAUGGAAGCAUGUUUUCCCGGUUGCUGCCGAGCCUCUUCUACCUCCCUGUCUACCGAAGGGUUGAGCGCUGCUGCUCCCCUGUUUCUCCUACUUGUACCCUGAGAGUUUGCUCAAGAACACCGCUCCAUCUGGUGCGGCGUUUUCGUGCGAUAGAGCCACGAUAUUCUCCCUCUCUUCGUGCAAAAUCAUCGCGUAGACUUUGUUCAGGGGAUGAGCCGGCUCGUGACUGAGGAUGUUAGACCUCACCAUCCCAAAUUUGGACCCUAGACCCAUCAGAAAUUGGUGGGUCUUCUCCCUUUCUCUCCGUGCUGCGUACAAUUUGGUUGCAGCACAUGUGCAUGUCGGUAUCUCCAGGUCUUCCCAUAGCGUCCGAGCCACCGUUGCACAGGCUACGUUGGAUUGAAGCUCGCUGUCCAGCGUGUUGAAUAUCCAGGAAAUCACCAACGCAUUGCAGAUGUCCUACCUUGCCCGGUUUGGAUCACCCUCCGGUGGCCUUGGCACCGUGCCAUCGAUCAGUCCAACCUUAUUCUUUGUCGUCAAUGCAGUCAGCAUAGCUCUUGACCAGGUCAGAUAAUUCGACCCAUUCAGCUUGUAGUUGAUUAAACUAGCACCGGUGUAGUCUAAUGAGUUGAUAGCAUAGACUGAUAAUGACUCAUAUUCGACACCCUUCCCUGAUGUCCCCAUCCUUGCUACCUCUCAUGAGCAACCCUAGAGCAAAUUGGAUUUCACGGUCCCAGUUUGCUCUGAUACCAUGUGAAACUUAUGAAUCAGAAGCUCAAAGCUUAAAUUCGAUUAAACUCUGGUAAUGUGUACAUAUAGCUGAAUACAAUGAGAAAUAUAGGAAAGAUUUCUAUGAUAUCUAAUUGCCUAUUAUACAUGAAUUGAAUUAGGCUAGCUAAGAUUAUAUACAAAAUAGUUCCGCUAAUUUUGGCAACAUAAUAUAUCCCGUAAUACAAGCUAGUAAUAGUAAUGAAAUGAGAGAGUACAAAAUGGCCAAGGCCUAGAUAAAUAAGGCCGAGUUUCUUGCCCAUUAAUAAACAAAAUGUGUUUGUUUGGAAAAAAAAUAAAUAAAUUACCAGUUCCGUUUCA